UCUAUAUUCAUGAUCCUUUUCUUCGUGUGCCGUAGUAAUUACCUCUCUUAUUUAUUGUUUCAGAUGGUUCCGAUGAACUCCAAGUAUCGCGUGAACAUACCUCUGGGCUUGGAGUCGCUGCUGGAGGGUCUUGCUGGAGCUGUUUUGAGGGAGCAGCCGGUCGAUAUCUACCGAUUCGCAGCUGAGUACUUCGAAAAACUCCUCGCAUCUAGAGAUGAAGCCCAGAGCGGGUUGUCGCCCUCGUCGACGCUGGAGCAGGAGCCGGCGGAGAUCAUCACGGAGGAGAACGUCUCCGGGCGGGUGAGCGAGAAGAUCUCCUGCUCGGCGGCGACGGAGGACGAGGAGGGAACGGAGGAGGACGACCCGGACAAGUCGCAGGGCGUCCGGGCGACGGCCGUCCUCACGCUGGCCGCCUCCACGGGCACCGUCGCCAUCCUCGGCACCACCGCCCAGCCGCUCCCCACCGACCUCUCCGACACCACCCUCAACACCGUCCAGAACCUCGAGAUCGAGGACUCGCACAUCAACCACCUGGACCACACCCACGAGCGGCACAUACCCCUCAAGGACAGCGUCGACCUCGACGACAAGCACCAAGAGGUCGAAAAGCUCAUAGAGUACACGCAAGAACCCAAGCGGAUAUUCAGUGAAAAAGCAAUCUCAGAUAGCAAUAACAUUUCCAACGGCGGAAUCAACCAGAAAACCAUCCCUCCGCAGACCGAAACAACCAGCGUCACGGACGCGACGCCGGAUUCACCCGACGUCACGAUCAGCGCCCCCGAAGCGAAAGACACCACGGACGUUACGAUCUCAGAAGUCAAAGACAGCGUAUCGGACGUGACGAUCUCAGAAACUAAAGACAGCGUAACGGACGUCACGAUCUCAGAGGCGAAGGAAGUGACGCUCACCCCGGAGGCGAAAGACGCGCCGGUAUGUUCGAGGGUGCCGGAACUGACCGUGACGAGCGACUCGAGCGACAACGUGGCCGUGGACGAGUCGGACGUCACGGACACGGAACCGCGGAGCGAGAGCGAGGCGGCGAACCUCCUGGAGCACGAGGUGAGCGAGGAGACCUCCUCGCCGCUGGUCGUCCAGCAGCUGGAGCUGGAGGAGAAGUCGAGCUCGCCGUCGACGGCCGACUCGGACGUGACGAUGCAGAAGGAGUCGAGGACGGAGAAGGACGUGAGCGACACGUCCAUCUCGAUCGACGAGAGGACGGAGACGCACACGAACGAGUACAACCUGAUCGAGAACGAGGACUCCUCCGAGUCGGUGACGCACUCUCUCGGCACGAAGCUGAACUUCAGCGAGGUGCUCAACCCGGAGAAGGAGGUGACCGAGGCCGUGAACCAGAGGCUGUCCUCGCUCGUGCGGGGGAUCUCCGAGGACGAGAUGCCGACCACCGUCCUCGAGUUGACCAAAGACUACAUCAACGGGGUUGACGUCUGGCGGGAAGACAAUAAUUCAACCAAGGAUCUAGGCAACGAAUAUAUUGAGCGCGUCAAGUUAAAAGCGGAAGACCUCGUAAACGAAAUCUGCGCCAAGGCCGAGACGGUCAACCAGAACGGACUCGCCAAGGACAUUGUAACUAGUGUAAAUUUCGCCAAAGCCAAUAGUGUAGACUCCUAUCGCCCACCGCUGGCCGAGACCAAACUCAAGACGUCGAUGACGUCAUCCUUCGAGGACGCGCUUCUCAACGUCAACUUCGGCGAGGGAGCGGAAGCCCCCACCUUCUGUCCCCGCCUCAGCACGAUAGGCUCUGAACUAGAACUUAAGGUGGCAGAGGAGCUCUCGCCGGUGGACAAGAGCGGCUCGAGUUUCUCCGACGGGGACCUGAGUCCGGACCCGAAAGGGCUCUCGGACAGUGUGAUAGAGACAAUCAAGGGUGAGAUCGCGGAGAUCUGCGAGGAGGCGGCCGACCGGGCAGCCCAGCUCCUCGCCGAGAAGGCCGCCGAGGAGGCCGAGUCCGACUCGAACGAGAUCUCCGAGAACGGGACCUCGACCAACAACCCGAGCAUAUCCUUCUCCGACGACACCCAGAUCAUCGAGUCCAGCAUCCAAGCCCCGCUCGAUGAAAAGCUCGCCUCCGCCGCCACCACGAUCCAGGCCUCGUUUCGGGGCUACCAAGUCCGGAAAGCUCACAAAAAACAGGUGAGUUCCACGCCCUGUCGUUUAUACCCAUUGAGAAUUUGCAACCCACUCAGCCUAGAACCUUAAUACAAUCUUAGUAUAAUAUUGCACAUCUUACACAUCAACAUUGCAGCCAUAUUAUACCCAUCUGAGU
rnacentral:lncRNA from 1 species